GCUCAGGACGAACGCUGGCGGCGUGCCUAAUACAUGCAAGUCGAACGAACUCUGGUAUUGAUUGGUGCUUGCAUCAUGAUUUACAUUUGAGUGAGUGGCGAACUGGUGAGUAACACGUGGGAAACCUGCCCAGAAGCGGGGGAUAACACCUGGAAACAGAUGCUAAUACCGCAUAACAACUUGGACCGCAUGGUCCGAGUUUGAAAGAUGGCUUCGGCUAUCACUUUUGGAUGGUCCCGCGGCGUAUUAGCUAGAUGGUGAGGUAACGGCUCACCAUGGCAAUGAUACGUAGCCGACCUGAGAGGGUAAUCGGCCACAUUGGGACUGAGACACGGCCCAAACUCCUACGGGAGGCAGCAGUAGGGAAUCUUCCACAAUGGACGAAAGUCUGAUGGAGCAACGCCGCGUGAGUGAAGAAGGGUUUCGGCUCGUAAAACUCUGUUGUUAAAGAAGAACAUAUCUGAGAGUAACUGUUCAGGUAUUGACGGUAUUUAACCAGAAAGCCACGGCUAACUACGUGCCAGCAGCCGCGGUAAUACGUAGGUGGCAAGCGUUGUCCGGAUUUAUUGGGCGUAAAGCGAGCGCAGGCGGUUUUUUAAGUCUGAUGUGAAAGCCUUCGGCUCAACCGAAGAAGUGCAUCGGAAACUGGGAAACUUGAGUGCAGAAGAGGACAGUGGAACUCCAUGUGUAGCGGUGAAAUGCGUAGAUAUAUGGAAGAACACCAGUGGCGAAGGCGGCUGUCUGGUCUGUAACUGACGCUGAGGCUCGAAAGUAUGGGUAGCAAACAGGAUUAGAUACCCUGGUAGUCCAUACCGUAAACGAUGAAUGCUAAGUGUUGGAGGGUUUCCGCCCUUCAGUGCUGCAGCUAACGCAUUAAGCAUUCCGCCUGGGGAGUACGGCCGCAAGGCUGAAACUCAAAGGAAUUGACGGGGGCCCGCACAAGCGGUGGAGCAUGUGGUUUAAUUCGAAGCUACGCGAAGAACCUUACCAGGUCUUGACAUACUAUGCAAAUCUAAGAGAUUAGACGUUCCCUUCGGGGACAUGGAUACAGGUGGUGCAUGGUUGUCGUCAGCUCGUGUCGUGAGAUGUUGGGUUAAGUCCCGCAACGAGCGCAACCCUUAUUAUCAGUUGCCAGCAUUAAGUUGGGCACUCUGGUGAGACUGCCGGUGACAAACCGGAGGAAGGUGGGGAUGACGUCAAAUCAUCAUGCCCCUUAUGACCUGGGCUACACACGUGCUACAAUGGAUGGUACAACGAGUUGCGAACUCGCGAGAGUAAGCUAAUCUCUUAAAGCCAUUCUCAGUUCGGAUUGUAGGCUGCAACUCGCCUACAUGAAGUCGGAAUCGCUAGUAAUCGCGGAUCAGCAUGCCGCGGUGAAUACGUUCCCGGGCCUUGUACACACCGCCCGUCACACCAUGAGAGUUUGUAACACCCAAAGUCGGUGGGGUAACCUUUUAGGAACCAGCCGCCUAAGGUGGGACAGAUGAUUAGGG
rnacentral:rRNA from 1 species